rnacentral:rRNA from 1 species
UGAGGAAUAUUGCGCAAUGGGGGCAACCCUGACGCAGCGACGCCGCGUGGAUGAUGAAGGCCUUCGGGUCGUAAAAUCCUGUCAAGUGGAAAGAAGUGCAUAGUGGUUAAUACCUGCUAUGUUUGACGGUACCACUGAAGGAAGCACCGGCUAACUCCGUGCCAGCAGCCGCGGUAAUACGGAGGGUGCAAGCGUUGUUCGGAAUUACUGGGCGUAAAGCGCGCGUAGGCGGUUUUACAAGUCAGAUGUGAAAGCCCAUGGCUCAACCAUGGACGUGCAUUUGAAACUGUAAGACUUGAGUAUUGGAGGGGGUGGUGGAAUUCCCGGUGUAGAGGUGAAAUUCGUAGAUAUCGGGAGGAAUACCAGUGGCGAAGGCGACCACCUGGCCAAAUACUGACGCUCAUGUGCGAAAGCGUGGGGAGCAAACAGG